rnacentral:tRNA from 1 species
GGGAUUGUGGCUUAGUGGUAGAGCACCCACCCAGUGCGUGUGAGGCCCUGGGUUCGAUCCUUAGCACCCCA